UCAGGGCUACACACGUACUACAAUGGCCGGUACAAAGGGCAGCCACUCAGCGAUGAGGCGCUAAUCCCAUAAAGCCGGUCUCAGUCCGGAUCGCAGUCUGCAACUCGACUGCGUGAAGUUGGAAUCGCUAGUAAUCGUAGAUCAGCAUGCUACGGUGAAUACGUUCCCGGGCCUU
rnacentral:rRNA from 1 species